rnacentral:rRNA from 1 species
UACGUAGGUGGCAAGCGUUGUCCGGAAUUACUGGGCGUAAAGGGUGCGCAGGCGGAUGCUUAAGUCGGAUGUGAAAUCUUAAGGCUCAACCUUAAGUUUGCAUUUGAAACUGGGCAUCUUGAGUGCAGGAGAGGGCAGUGGAAUUCCUAGUGUAGCGGUGAAAUGCGUAGAUAUUAGGAGGAACACCAGUGGCGAAGGCGGCUGCCUGGACUGUAACUGACGCUGAGGCACGAAAGCGUGGGGAGCGAAC